rnacentral:rRNA from 1 species
GAUAAACGCUGGCGGCGUGCAUGAGACAUGCAAGUCGAACGAGUGCCGGGCAACCGGUGCUAGUGGCGGACGGCUGAGUAACGCGUUGGUGACCUACCCCGAAGUGGGGAAUAACUGCCCGAACGGGUGGCUAAUACCGCAUGUGGUCGCACGUUCGUUCGUGCGAGUAAAGCCGUGAGGCGCUUCGGGAGGGGCCUGCGUCCGAUUAGCUCGUUGGUGGGGUAAUGGCUUACCAAGGCGACGAUCGGUAGGUGGUCUGAGAGGACGAUCACCCAGACUGGGACUGAGACACGGCCCAGACUCCUACGGGAGGCAGCAGUCGGGAAUUUUGCUCAAUGGGGGAAACCCUGAAGCAGCAACGCCGCGUGAGGGAUGAAGGCCUUCGGGUUGUAAACCUCUUUUGUCAGGGACGAUGAUGACGGUACCUGGCGAAUAAGCCACGGCUAACUACGUGCCAGCCGCCGCAGUAACAC